rnacentral:rRNA from 1 species
UACGUAGGGGGCAAGCGUUGUCCGGAAUCAUUGGGCGUAAAGCGCGUGUAGGCGGCCAGAAAAGUCCGCUGUGAAAACUCGAGGCUCAACUUCGAGCUGUCGGUGGAAACUUUCUGGCUAGAGUCCGGAAGAGGAGAGUGGAAUUCCUGGUGUAGCGGUGAAAUGCGUAGAUAUCUGGAGAAUACCGGUGGCGAAGGCGGCAUCCUGGACCGGCAUUGACGCUGAUGAGCGAAAGCUAGGGGAGCAAACGGG